UGAUGGAACCCACAGCCUCAUUCCUU
rnacentral:piRNA from 1 species